rnacentral:rRNA from 1 species
UACGUAGGUGGCGAGCGUUGUCCGGAAUUACUGGGUGUAAAGGGCGUGUAGGCGGGGAAACAAGUCCGAUGUGAAAUUCUGGGGCUCAACCCCAGCGCUGCAUCUGAAACUGUAUCUCUUGAGUGCUGGAGAGGAAAGCGGAAUUCCUAGUGUAGCGGUGAAAUGCGUAGAUAUUAGGAGGAACACCAGUGGCGAAGGCGGCUUUCUGGACAGUAACUGACGCUGAGGCGCGAAAGCGUGGGGAGCAAACAGG